UCCUACGGGAGGCAGCAGUGGGGAAUAUUGCACAAUGGGCGCAAGCCUGAUGCAGCCAUGCCGCGUGCAGGAAGACUGCCCUAUGGGUUGUAAACUGCUUUUAUACGGGAAGAAACCCACCUACGUGUAGGUGGCUGACGGUACCGUAAGAAUAAGGACCGGCUAACUCCGUGCCAGCAGCCGCGGUAAU
rnacentral:rRNA from 1 species